rfam:Felis catus isolate Cinnamon breed Abyssinian chromosome C1, whole genome shotgun sequence.
GCCUGGGUGGCUCAGUCGGUUGAGCGUCCGACUUCAGCUCAGGUCAUGAUCUCGCGGCUCGUGGGUUCGGGCCCCGCAUCGGGCU